rnacentral:rRNA from 1 species
CCUACGGGAGGCAGCAGUGGGGAAUAUUUGGUAAUGGGCGAAAGCCUGACGCAGCGACGCCGCGUGGAGGAUGAAGGCCUUCGGGUUGUAAACUCCUUUUGCAGGGGACGAUGAUGACGGUACCCUGCGAAUAAGCCACGGCUAACUCUGUGCCAGCAGCCGCGGUAAGACAGAGGUGGCGAGCGUUGUUCGGAAUUACUGGGCUUAAAGGGCGCGUAGGUGGUAGUGCAAGUCUGGGGUGGAAUCCGGUGGUUUAACCAGCGAACUGCCCUGGAAACUGCAUGGCUUGAGUCAGUGAGGGGAGGGCGGAAUUCCCGGUGUAGCAGGAAAAUGCGUAGAUAUCGGGAGGAAGGCCGGUGGCGAGGGCGGCCCUCUGGUGCUUGACUGACGCUGAGGCGCUAAAGCGUGGGGAGCAAACAGGAUUAGAUACCCCAGUAGU